rnacentral:rRNA from 1 species
CCUACGGGAGGCAGCAGUGAGGAAUAUUGGUCAAUGGACGCAAGUCUGAACCAGCCAUGCCGCGUGCAGGAUGACGGCUCUAUGAGUUGUAAACUGCUUUUGUACGAGGGUAAACCCCGAUACGUGUAUCGGGUUGAAAGUAUCGUACGAAUAAGGAUCGGCUAACUCCGUGCCAGCAGCCGCGGUAAUACGGAGGAUCCGAGCGUUAUCCGGAUUUAUUGGGUUUAAAGGGUGCGUAGGCGGUUUGAUAAGUUAGAGGUGAAAUGUCGGGGCUCAACCCCGAAACUGCCUCUAAUACUGUUAGACUAGAGAAUAGUUGCGGGAGGCGGAAUGUAUGGUGUAGCGGUGAAAUGCUUAGAGAUCAUACAGAACACCGAUUGCGAAGGCAGCUUACCAAACUAUAUCUGACGUUGAGGCACGAAAGCGUGGGUAGCAAACAGGAUUAGAUACCCUGGUAGUC